rnacentral:rRNA from 1 species
AAAGGAAUAGACGGGGACCCGCACAAGCAGCGGAGCAUGUGGUUUAAUUCGAAGCAACGCGAAGAACCUUACCAAGGCUUGACAUCCCCUUGACAGGUGCAGAGAUGUGCCCUUCUCUUCGGAGACAAGGGUGACAGGUGGUGCAUGGUUGUCGUCAGCUCGUGUCGUGAGAUGUUGGGUUAAGUCCCGCAACGAGCGCAACCCUUAUCCUUAGUUGCCAGCAGGUAGUGCUGGGCACUCUAAGGAGACUGCCGAUGAUAAAUCGGAGGAAGGUGGGGAUGACGUCAAAUCAUCAUGCCCCUUAUGUCUUGGGCUACACACGUGCUACAAUGGUCGGUACAACGGGGAGCUAAAGAGCGAUCUGGAGCAAAUCCCAAUAAACCGAUCCCAGUUCGGAUUGUAGGCUGCAACUCGCCUACAUGAAGUCGGAGUUGCUAGUAAUCGCGAAUCAGAACGUCGCGGUGAAUGCGUUCCCGGGUCUUGUACACACCGCCCGU